UAAGACAGAGGUGCCGAGCGUUAGGCGGAAUCACUGGGCUUAAAGCGUGUGUAGGCGGAUCGUUAAGUAUCUUGUGAAAUCCCACGGCUCAACCGUGGAACUGCUGGGUAUACUGGCGAUCUUGAGCAACCUAGGGGCAGACGGAACAAGUGGUGGAGCGGUGAAAUGCGUAGAUAUCACUUGGAACGCCGACGGUGAAAACAGUCUGCUGGGGGUUUGCUGACGCUGAGACACGAAAGCCAGGGGAGCGAACGGGAUUAGAUACCCCGGUAGUCCUGGCCCUAAACGAUGUCGACUAGGUCGUGGUGCCUCUGACGGUAUCGCGGCCGAAGCAAAAGUGCUAAGUCGACCGCCUGGGAAGUACGGUCGCAAGGCUA
rnacentral:rRNA from 1 species